rnacentral:sRNA from 1 species
AGUAGAAAUGUAUUUUGUUCUUGAUUGUUUGCUCGAAGAAGUACUGUAAGGUUACAGAAGAAACUAAUAAAAGUGGUUAUUUUUGUGAAGGCAGAAGUAAAGCGGACAGGAAUGAACUUUGUGGAAGACUUCUCAAUGUAUUCAAUUAAUAUCAGUUUGAUUUUUGAGUAAUGUGAAAAUUAAUGUAAAGUGUUUAUAAUCAUCUAGUAUUUUCUGCGUAGUAUGAGUUUGGUGACUGUUGAUGUAAAAUUCUUCUCUCUAGAAAUGAAUACUGCAUUGAGGGACGGACUUCUGGUGUUCUUCUUCCUAAUUGUUCCCCUUAUUGUCUGUGCUAUUUUUAUCUUCAUCAAGAGAGAUCAACUGUGGAGAAGCUACUUCAGAAAGAAGAGAUCACAAACAUAUGAGUCAGAUGGCAAAAAUCAAGCAAACCCUUCUAGACAGCCGGGGAGUGUUCCUCGACAUGUUUCUCCAGUGACACCUCCCAGAGAAGUUCCUAUAUAUGCAAACAGAUUUGCAGUACCAACCUAUGCAGCCAAGCAACCUCAGCAGUUCCCAUCAAGGCCACCUCCACCACAACCGAAAG